rnacentral:tRNA from 1 species
GGAAAUAGCUCAGUGGUAAAGUACAUACUUAGUGUGCAUGAGGUCCUGGGUUCAAUCCCCAGUACCUCCA